GCCGGGGUGGCGUAGUUGGUAGCGCGUCGGACUCAUAAUCCGCUGACGCGAUCGAUGAGCGCACAAGCCU
rnacentral:tRNA from 1 species